CGUUUUUCGAUCAAAAGAAUGAAAAAUCUGACCUGCCCAGUGAAGUUUUGUUAAACGGCUGCGACGAGAGUCGUACUAAGGUAGCGCGAUAAUUUGUCUUUUAAUUGGAGAAUGGUAUGAAGGGUUUGACGCAGGAUUAUUGUCUCUAUAUAAGAAGAUUAAGUUUCCUUUUGAAUGAAAAGGUUUAGAUAUAUUAAAAGACGAGAAGACCCUGUCGAGCUUAAUUAAGUAAAAUAUUAGAAUGAGGUUAAGUGAAAAGUGUUAAUAGCUUAACUACUGGCUGAAUGUUUUAUGGAAGUUUAAUUGGGGAAAGUUAAGAUUAAAGUAAUAGUCUAAAUUUAGUGUUAAGAUCCUUUUUGAGAGAAAAUAGCAAAAGCUACCGCAGGGAUAACAGCGCAAUUUUCUUUGAGAGAUCUUAUUGAGGGAAGAGUUUGCGACCUCGAUGUUGGAUUAGAAAAACUUUUUGGUGUAGCAGCUAAAAAAUGUGGGACUGUUCGUCCCUUAAGUUCCU
rnacentral:rRNA from 1 species